AAUAUUGCCCACUGGGGGAGACCGUGAUGCAGCGACGCCGCGCGUGUGAAGAAGUAUUUCAGUAUGUAAAGCUCUAUCAGCAGGGGAGAAAAUGACGGUACCUGACUAAGAACCACCGCCUAACUACGUGCCAGCAGCCCCGGUAAUACGUAGGGGGCAAGCGUUAUCCGGAUUUAAUGGGUGUAAAGGGAGCGUAGGUGGCAAAUCAAGUCAGAUGUGAAAGCCCGGGGCUCAACUCCGGGAUUGCAUUUGAAACUGGUAUGCUAGAGUGCAGGAGAGGUAAGUGGAAUUCCUAGUGUAGCGGUGAAAUGCGUAGAUAUUAGGAGGAACACCAGUGGCGAAGGCAGCUUACUGGACUGUAACUGACACUGAGGCUCGAAAGCGUGGGGAGCAAAC
rnacentral:rRNA from 1 species